rnacentral:rRNA from 1 species
GAUGAACGCUGGCGGCGUGCUUAACACAUGCAAGUCGAACGGUGAAGGCGGAGCUUGCUCUGCUGGAUCAGUGGCGAACGGGUGAGUAACACGUGAGCAAUCUGCCCCUGACUCUGGGAUAAGCGCUGGAAACGGCGUCUAAUACUGGAUACGAGCUGCGAAGGCAUCUUCAGCAGCUGGAAAGAACUUCGGUCAGGGAUGAGCUCGCGGCCUAUCAGCUUGUUGGUGAGGUAACGGCUCACCAAGGCGUCGACGGGUAGCCGGCCUGAGAGGGUGACCGGCCACACUGGGACUGAGAGACGGCCCAGACUCCUAUGGGAGGCAGCAGUGGGGAAUAUUGCACAAUGGGCGAAAGCCUGAUGCAGCAACGCCGCGUGAGGGACGACGGCCUUCGGGUUGUAAACCUCUUUUAGCAGGGAAGAAGCGAAAGUGACGGUACCUGCAGAAAAAGCGCCGGCUAACUACGUG